AGAACAUAUCACUCUUUUAAACGUUAAAUGUAACUUUACAGAGCCUGGCAUAGGCAGCUGUAAAUUGUAGGUCAAACAAGUUGCAUCCCCUUAGAAAAUCAGGUGACUCACAGGCAGGUUGUUAUACAGAGUCAUGUGGCUUUGAAAGGUUCAGAGAGUAAUCUCUCUGCUGAAUUUCCCAUUUGUGGAUAAUUUUUCUUAAAGGGGAAGCAGGGCCCUAGACCUUUGUCCUCGCUUAGGUCAGACAACUAAAGAGGAACAGCAGAGGCGUUCCUGUUGUGGCUCAGCAGUUAACAAACCCAACUAGCAUCCAUGAGGAUGCAGGUUUGAUCCCUGGCCUCACUCAGUGGGUUAAGGAUCUGGUGUUGCCAUGAGCUGUGGUGUAGGUCAAAGACACAGCUUGGAUCUGGCAUUGCUGUGGCUGUGGCUGUGGCUGGCAUCUACAGCUCCGGUUCGACCCCCUAGCCUGGGAACCUCCACAUGCCUCGGGUGCGGCCCUAAAAGGACAAUAAAUAAAUAAAUAAAAACUUUAAAACUGUGAUAAAAUAUAUGUAACAUAAAAUUUACUCUUUUACGAGUUCUCUCGUGGUACAGUGGGUUAAGGAUCCAGUGUUGUCACUGCAGCAGCUUGGGUAGCGGCUGAGGUGCAGGUUCUAUCCCUGGCCUGGGAACCUCCACAUGCUGCAGGUGUGGCCAAAAAAAUUUUUUCUUACCAUUUUAAUCAUUCUUUUUUUCUUUUUCAUUUUAACCAUUCUUAAGUGUACAAUUCAGUGCUAUUAAGUCAGUUCACAUUGUCAUGCAACCAUUACCACUAUCCUUUGCUGGCACUCUUUUUAAUCUUCUGAAACUGAAAUUUCAGCUACUUCCCAUUUCCCCUCCCCCCAGCCUCUGGCAACCACCGUUCUAUUUCCUGUCUCUGUAAAUUUGACCGCUCUGGGUACCUCACAUAAAUGAAUUGUACAAUAUUUGCCUUUUUAUAUCUGGCUUAAUUCACUUAGCGUAAUGUCUUUACGGUCUGUCUGUGUCACACCAUGUGUCAGAACUUCAUUCCCUUUUAAGGCCGAGUAAUAGUCCAUUUUAUGUACAUACCACAUUUUGUUUAUCCACUUAUCCACUGAUGUCAAUCCACAUUUUAGUUUUAGGGCCAUACCUGUGGCAUAUGGAAGUUCCCAGGCUAGGGGUCAAAUGGGAACUACGGCUGCCCGCCUAUACCACAGCCACAGCAACUUGGGAUCUGAGCCACAUCUGUAACCUACACCACAGCUCACGGCAAUGCCAAGGCCAGAUCCCCAACCCACUGAUCGAGGCCAGGGAUGGAAACCACAUCCUCAUGGAUACUAGUCAGACUCCUUUCCACUGUGCCACAAGGGGAACUCCUCUAUCCACAUUUUAAGAGCACAGUUUUUUUUUGACCCAACAAGUCUAUUGCAAGGAUUUUGACUUAUGAAUAUACUUGCAUGUAUAUAGACAGAUGGCUACACCAGAGUCUUAGCAGAGGACUCUCUGGCUUGCUACCCAGUAAACAUUUCAGCCUUUUUUCUUUCUUUCUUCCUUCCUUUCUUUUUGGUGUUUUUUUUUUUUUUUUUUUUUUUUUUAAGGGCUGCACUUGCAGCAUAUGGAAGUUCCCGGGAUGGGGGUCAAAUCAGAACUAUAGCCUCCGGCCUUCACCAGAGCCACAGCAAUGCGGGAUCUGAGCUGCGUCUGCAACCUACACCACAGCUCACGGCAUCCUUAACCCACUGAUCAGGGCCAGGGAUCAAACCCGUGUCCUCAUGAAUACUAGUCAGAUUCAUUUCCGCUGGGCUAGAUCCUCAGCCUUUUUUCUUGCUAGUUGGAACUUGAGUUGGUUCCGGUAUCAGGAGGCACUGUGUUCAGGGAAAGCGUGUCCUUCCCCAGCACUGGGGGAUGGAUCCCAUUGAUAUGAGCCAAUAAUACCAAUUCUAUUCCCCGUUGCCAGUAAUUGUUUAUGGAUGGGCUUGUCCUGGUCAAUGAUGUGUGAGGGGAAGUCUGCAAUGGGGCUUCUGGAAAACGUUUUUCUCCUGGAGAGGAGAUUUAGGAGGAGAAACUGACUUCUUUGAACAGAGUUGGAUGAUGAUCCCAGACGUCCUAUCUUACUUCCAAACCCAAGAUGUCACACUCUGGGGAUGGCAGGAGAAAUAGAGAAACCUGGUUCCUGAAAGGCAUUGGUGAGCCUCUGAAUUAAUCCACACUGGGACCACUUGGCUCUAGAACUCUUGUUAUGUAAUAACUCUUUAGGGUUUAAACUACUUUUAGUUCUUUAUUCUGUUAUUUCCAUUCCAAAACACUCUGAUAGUGUUUAUUGCAGCAUCGUUUGUAACAGCAAACACCCUAAAGGUUAAUUAAUUGAGGAUUCGUUAAAUAAUAAUGAAACAUUCAUACAGUGGAAUACUAUGCAGUUGUAAAAAGGAUGUAUAUGCAGAUAUAGAACAAGCUCUAAGAGAUAGUGGGACUAACAAAGUGCAAGAGUAUGUCUGGGUUAAAAAAAUAUGCGGACAUAGGUAUAUACAUAUAUGUGUAUGUUUGUGUAAUUUAUACAAAUAUAUGCAACAAAUUGUUAAUACUGUCUCUCUGGGGUUGCCAGGAUGUAAAGGAAGCUCAUUUAUUAUUAUUAGUAGAAAUUUUCAUUUUUAUACCAGGAUCAUGUAUUCAUUUUUUCAAUUAAAAACAACAACAACACAACCAGCUAUUCAAAACCACACCGAUGUUAAUAGCACUUCACUGUAUAAAUAGACACCUUUUGGGUGCUGUCUUUGGACUUGAACCAGCCACUGAUUCACUUUAAAGUGAUAGAAGGUUUAGUUUCAGAAAGUGGAGCCAGGACUUUCAAAAGAGGCACAAUGUAGGCAGAAUCUGGUCCAAGCAAAUUCAUCCCCAAACGUAGAUUUAACUGAGCCUCCUGAUUUGCCUUUUGUAACUACCCUGGAGCUGAUGUUCAGCUGAGACAUGCUGGCAUGGGCAUAUCUAGUAUAUAUGGCUGGUAUCCUUUCUUACAGGGCCAGUGUCCUUUCAGAGUGUUUCUGCCCAUCGUGGAUCAAUUGUUAAAUAUAUGGAAUGUUAUCUCUGACCUUUCCCACUCAACAUGGCUUUUCCCUAGCUCUUCUAGUCACUUCAAUCCUCUGAAUAUAUCCUCAACUCCUGGUUUUUAACCUUAUCUCCUGAUGGUAAAUAUUAUUUAGGACUUAUUUGGCAGCAGAUAAUAGAACAUCAACUCAAAUAUCUCAAACAAUACAAUUAUUUUAUAUAACAAGUCUGGUAGUAGGUAGUUUAAGGUGGCUCAGUGAUAUCAUUGAAGACCUGGACUUGUCUCACCUUUUCUUUGUGCCAUCUCAGCAUGUUGUCAAUUCUCUCCUCUUGGUCACAAAAUGGCUGCUGUAGCACCAAGUAUUGUUUUCAUAUGAUAGCAUCCUAACAGGAAGUUUAAGGAGGACAUAGGGGGAUUUUCCCUCUGGGAUUCUCUCUUUUAUUUUUAAUCAAAGAGUAAACAGCUUUAACAGCCACCAGCAGACAUUCACUUAUGCUUUACUGGCUAGAACUGGGUCAUGUACCCAUCCUUACGUCAAUUUCUGCCAAAGAGGAAGAACUUUGGACCAAUUAUAAUUAAUCUUCUUCAGUUGAGCAUACUGACCCUGAAUCAAGAGAAAUUUCUUUUUAACAAGAAGAGGAAAUGACAUCUGAGUAAGCAAUCAGCUUUGACUGCCACUUAUAGGUCUUUUUAAAAUUUUAAUUUUAAUUUUUAUUACACCCAUGACAUAUGGAAGUUCCCAGGUCAGUGAUGAAUCCCUGUGAUCUAUGCCACAGCUGCUGCAACAUUGAUCCUUAACAUACUGUGCUGGACCAGGGAUCGAAUCCGAGCCUCCACAGAGACCUGAGACACUGCAGUCAGGUUCUUAACCCACUGCACCAAGGCAGGAACUCACUCCUGUUAGUGUUCUUUUAAAAUUCUGUCAAUAGUUUGUUCCUGGUUUUUCUUGUUUAAAAAUAGUAACUGUGUUUCUUAUUAUAAAAGUAAUGUAUUAAGAUAUAUAAUUUAGUUUAGAAUCCUAUAUAUAUAUAUAUAUAUAUAUAUAUAUAUAUAUUUUUUUUUUUUUUUUUUUUUUUUGUCUUUUUGCUAUUUCUUGGGCCGCUCCCGCAGCAUAUGGAGAUUCCCAGGCUAGGGGUCCAGUCGGAGCUGUAGCCAUCGGCCUACACCAGAGCCACAGCAACUCGGGAUCCGAGCCACGUCUGCAACCUACACCACAGCUCACGGCAACGCUGGAUCGUUAACCCACUGAGCAAGGGCAGGGACCGAACCCGCCACCUCAUGGUUCCUAGUCAGAUUCGUUAACCACUGCGCCACGACGGGAACUCCAGAAUCCUAUCUAUUUUAACUUAACAUUUUAUGAUGGACUUGCUGUUCUUUUUUUUUUUUUUUUUUGUCUUUGCAGGGCUGCACUCUCAGCAUGUGGAGGUUCCCAGGCUAGGGGUCUAAUCGGAGCUGUAGUUGCCAGUCUACACCACAGCCACAGCAAUGCCAAAUCUAAGCCACGUCUGUGACCUACACCACAGCCAGAUCCUUAACCCACUGAGCAAGGCCAGGGAUUGAACCGGCGUCCUCAUGGAUGCUAGUCAGAUUCGUUUCCCCUGAGCCAUGAUGGGAACUCCCUGAAUUUGCUGUUCUCCUCUUGUCCUAGCCCUUCUCCACACAUAUCCAAGUGAAAGGAAAAGAAACAAUACAUGAUGAGUCCCCAUGAAGUGGUUGAUGAGAUAAAAGUUACUUUGGAUUUGGGAAGGUCUUGACUUUCUAACUCCUAACUGGUCUCCACGUGGGGCUCCCUCUCAGACUCCCAGGACGGCAGGACACUUAUGUGGAGAGAGAGAGAGAGAGAGAGAGAGAGAGAGAGAGAGAGAGAGAGAGAGAAAGCCUUCCUCAGACUGACUAGGCCUUGCUGCUGGGAGUGACUCUUGAAGGGUCCCAGCCUCCUCCUCGCAGACCUCAACAGGACACGCAGAUUUCUGUAAGACCUGAUGGCACCAACUAGGAAUAAGCACAGCUGGGCUUGAUGAGGGGCACUGCUAACACUUUUCGUGUGUGUGGCGUCACAUAGGCUCUAGGGGGGCAUGGACGGGAGACUCUCUCCUGCUGAGCUGGGCUUUCAGGAGCUUGAGAUGGAAAGCCAUUUGUCCCUAACAAAAUUCCCUGAUGGGAGUUCCCAUCGUGGCUCUGUGGUAAUGAACCUGACUAAUAUGCAUGAGGUUGCGGGUUGGAUCCCUGGCCUUGCUCAGUGGGUUAAGAAUCCGGCAUUGCCAUGAGCUGUGGGGUAGGUCACAAACCCAGCUCAGAUUGGCACUGCUGUGGCUGUGGUGUAGGCCAGCAGCUGCAGCUCUGAUUUGACCCCUAGCCUGGGAGCUUCCAUACGUCAGGUGCAGCCCUUAAAAGAAAGAAAAAAAAAAAAAAAUUCCAAGGCAAGGAUGGGCAUGAUCUCAGGUCUUGAAUGGAAAGAGGGGAGACUUUAGAAUGAGACAAUUAUAGGUUUGAAUCUUGGCUUGGCCACCUUGCAGGCUUAAUGACCUCUGAGACUCAGUCAUCUGUGAAAGGGCUGUGAUACCUCCCUCCCUCGGUGUUGUGAAGAGUAAAAGUAGGACACAACAGAAGAGACAUUUAAUCAAUAUUAGAGUGAAUAUCAAUAUAUUCAGUAAUAAUAAAAUAAAGUGAAUGCAUAUCCAAGAAAAAGAUAUUCGGUAAAUAAAUAGAUAUUUGAUGGAUGCAGAGGGAGGAGGAUUGGGGCUCUAGAAAAUGAAAUGUGAGGAGUGCUCUUGUGCAUAGUGGGUUACGGACCCGGCACUGUCACUGCUGUGGCUCAGGUUCAAUCCCUGGCCCGGCAACUUCCAUAGGCCAUGGGUGUGGCAAAAAAAAAAAAAAAAAAAAGAAAGAAAAUGAAAUGUGACAACUUAGCAGCAAGUAGUUUGGGCACAGAAGGAAAGAGAAAGCAACAAAAGUGGUUAGAAAUCAGACAGGCAUAUGGUACCACUUUUCUACCCACAAAUAAGCGAAGAUGAUUAUGAGUGAAAGUGCCUCGAACUGACAAAGGUUUGGGGCCUUGGGUUCACUCACCUUUCUGGAUGGCCUCGUGAAUCACACAAAAUUCUGGGCUGCAAGUUAACUCUCGCAGUAUCUGAAAGAUCUGGUGGUCCUCCCUCUAGAAAUUUAUCUUAAGAGAAUAAUUAGAAAUAGAAAUCAAGAGAUAUAUUCAAGGAUGCUGUUGAUAAAUAGUAAAAAACUAGAAACAGCCUAAAUAAAUAACAAUAAGAGAUUGGCUAAGUAACAGUUGUAACCACACGGCAGGAUAAAAGUAUCAAUUUAUUAACUUACAGAUAUUCCAAAAAUAUUGUGUGACACAAGCAGGUUAACAAAUAGUGUAUAUAUUAUACAGUCUCUUUUAGAAAGUACACCCAUAUGUAAUAUAGACCUAGAAAGAUAUCUAAAUAUUCAAUGCUUAUGGCUGGUUGAUAGGAUGUGCUUUUGAUUGAGAUACAUUUCACAUACCAUACAUUUUACCAUUCACUUUAUUAUUAUUUUUUGGCAGCACUCACAGCGUGCAUAAGUUCCCAGGCAAGGGAUUGAAUCUUCACAUAAGAAUUGUACUCAAAUAUUCAUAGCGUCCUUAUUCAUAAUACCCAAAAAGUAGAAACAACCAAAGUCACAGCAGUGACAACACUGGAUCUUUAACUCACUGAGCCACGAGGUAAUGCCACCAUUCACUGAAAAACUUCACCAUUUAAAAGUAUACAAUUCAGUGGCUUUUAGUACAUUCACAGAGUUGUGCAACCAUCACCCCUAAUUCCAGAACAUUUUCAUUACCUGAAAAAGAAAUCUUGAAUCCAUUAGCAGUCACUUCUCUCGCCAGCCCUUGGCAACAACUGAUCUCUCUGUCUCUAUGGAUUUGCCUAUUCUGGACAUUUCCUAUAAAUGGAAUCACACAAUAUGUGACCUUUUGUGUCUAGCUUCUUAGCAUAAUGUCUUCAAGGUUCAGCCACUUUGUAGCGUGUGUCAACACUUCAUUCCUUUUUAUUGCCAAAUAAGAUUAUGUUGUGUGGCUAUGCCACGUUCUGUUUGUUGGAAAGUUGAUGGAGAUUUGGGUUGUUUCCAUUUUUUUUGGCUAUUGUGAAUAAGGGUGCUACGAAUAUUUGAGUACAAUUCUUGUGUGAAGGUAUAUUUUCAAUUCUUUUGGUUAUGUACUAAGGAAUGGAAUUGCUGGGUCAUGUGGUAAUUUUAUGUUUAACUUUUUGAGUAACUGCCAAAAUGUUUCCCACAGAGGUUGCACCAUUUUGCAUUUCUACCUGCAAUAUAUGAGAUUUCCCAAUUUCUCCAUAUCCUUACCCAACCCUUGUUGUUUUCUGGUUUUUGAGGGGAUAAAAACUACCCUAAUGGAUGUGAAGUGGUAUCUCCCUGUGGCUCUGAGUUGCAUUUCCCCGAUGACUGGUGAUGUUGAACAUCUUUUCCUGUACUUGCUGGUCAUUUCUUUGUCUUCUUUGGAGACAUGUCUAUUCACGUCCUUUGCCAGUUGGUUGGAUUUUGGUUUUCCUUUUCCUUCCUUCCUUUCUUCCUUCCUUCCUUUCUUCCUUUCUUUCGCUUUUUAGGGCCACACCAUGGCAUAUGGAGGAUCCCAGGCUAGGGGUCUAAUCGGAGCUACAGCAACUGGCCUGUGCCACAGCCACAGCAACGCCAGAUGAGAGCCACAUCUGUGACCCACACCACAGCUCACAGCAAUGCCGGAUCCUUCUCUCACUCAUAUGGAGAAAACCCGUUUCUAACUUCCCUUAGGCUAGUUAACAAAUCCUCAGAUAUAGAUUUUGAUAGCAUUUUUGAGCUGCUAAAUAAUCACCUCUGGAGUGUUACUCAUAAUUAGUGUUUCGAAUCUUGACUAAUCACUUCUGAGGUAAGUUAAAAGUGAGUAAUGAGGAGUUCCUGUUGUGGCACAGUGGUUAACGAAUCUGACUAGGAACCAUGAGUUGUAGGUUCGGUCCCUGGCCUCGCUCAGUGGGUUAAGGAUCCGGCGUUGCCAUGAGCUGUGGUGUAGGCCUGCGGCUACAGUUCCAAUUUGACCCCUUGCCUGGGAAUUUCCAUAUGCCACGGGAGCAGCCCUAGAAAAGACAAAAAGACAAAAAAAAAAAAAAAAAAAAAAAAAAAAAAAGGAGUCAUGAAAGCAUAUGGAAGAAAACAUAGGAUAAAUUUAUAAACUUUACUCAACA
rnacentral:lncRNA from 9 species